AUCCGCUGCUGCCGACCGUUGCUUCUGCACUUCAUUCUACUUAGAAACAAUCUUUGCUCUUUCAACAUUUUUACGCCCUUGUCGGAACAGUUGAAUACAUCCCACCUGCAACUAGUUUGAUUACAAUAAAAGCUAAAAUUCAGGCUACUCUCAGGCCAAGUGAAUCAAGAAAUUGAUCUUAAUCCUGAGGGUGGUCCGUGAUUUUCUCCUUUUUUUCUGCAAAAAUCAAAUUUGUUAGUUGGCACAGAGUUAAGGAACUCUCAAAGUUAUAAAGCUGGGGCUAACUAGCCCUAUGGGAGAUCCAUUUGAAAUGGAAAAAUCAUAUAAGGUGUACAAGUCCCUUUCUUCAAUCAGUUAUCUCUUCCCCUUGCUGUGGAAUGGCUAUGCCUCAAUUGUUCUUUCAUACAGAUUUCUUGUACGAAUCAUUGGGCCUCCUAUCACAAGGUUGCUAUUUGGUUGUACAAGUUCCUUGAGAUGACAUCAUGCAAUUGAGGAAUCAAGAAAUUUGACUUCUCAAGAUUCGGGGGUUUAAGGGCUCAAGUGGCAGACUUGGGACUUCAGAUAUUA